CACGUAGUUAGCCGGGGCUUCUUAGUCAGGUACCGUCCUCCUUCUUCCCUGCCGAUAGGGCUUUACGCGCCGAAACGCUCCUUCACCCACGCGGCGUCGCUGCAUCAGGGUUUCCCCCAUUGUGCAAUAUUCCCCACUGCUGCCUCCCGUAGGAGUUUGGGCCGUGUCUCAGUCCCAAUGUGGCCGUUCACCCUCUCAGGCCGGCUACUGAUCGUCGCCUUGGUGAGCCAUUACCCCACCAACAAGCUAAUCAGACGCGGAACCAUCGUAUACCACCAGAGUUUUUCACACCACUUCAUGCGAAGCUGUGCGCUUAUGCGGUAUUAGCACCUAUUUCUAAGUGUUAUCCCCCAGUAUACGGCAGGUUUUCCACGCGUUACUCACCCGUCCGCCACUAACUCAUAAAUCACUAGGUUUCAAUAUGAGCCCGUUCGACUUGCAUGUGUUAAGCACGCCGCCAGCGUUCAUCCUGAGCCAGGAUCAAACUCU
rnacentral:rRNA from 1 species